rnacentral:rRNA from 1 species
AUUGAACGCUGGCGGAAUGCUUUACACAUGCAAGUCGAGCGGCAGCGCGGGGGCAACCCUGGCGGCGAGCGGCGAACGGGUGAGUAACACAUCGGAACGUACCCAGUUGUGGGGGAUAGCCCGGCGAAAGCCGGAUUAAUACCGCAUACGACCUGAGGGUGAAAGGGGGGGUUCGCAAGACCUCUCGCAGUUGGAGCGGCCGAUGGCGGAUUAGCUAGUUGGUGAGGUAAAGGCUCACCAAGGCGACGAUCCGUAGCUGGUCUGAGAGGACGACCAGCCACACUGGAACUGAGACACGGUCCAGACUCCUACGGGAGGCAGCAGUGGGGAAUUUUGGACAAUGGGGGCAACCCUGAUCCAGCCAUUCCGCGUGAGUGAAGAAGGCCUUCGGGUUGUAAAGCUCUUUCGGCAGGAACGAAACGGUGGAGGCUAAUACCUUUCAUCAAUGACGGUACCUGAAGAAGAAGCACCGGCUAACUACGUGCCAGCAGCCGCAGUAA